rnacentral:rRNA from 1 species
UUCUGACGCUGAGGCACGAAAGCGCGGGACCGAACGGGAUUAGAUACCCCGGUAGUCCACGCCCUAAACUAUGUGCACUAGAUUGUGGGGGUUUUGACGCCCGCACAAUCGAAGCUAAAGUGAUUAGUGCACCGCCUGGGGAGUACGGUCGCAAGGCUAAAACUCAAAGGAAUUGACGGGGGCUCACACAAGCGGUGGAGCAUGUGGCUUAAUUCGAAGCUACGCGAAGAACCUUAUCCAGGGUUUGACAUGUACGGAUUAGCUCGGUGAAAGUCGAGUGACGCUCUUUGAGUGGAACGUACACAGGUGCUGCAUGGCUGUCGUCAGCUCGUGCUGUGAAGUGUCGGGUUAAGUCCCUUAACGAGCGAAACCCCUACCACUAGUUACCAGCGGACCUUCGGCUGCCGGGGACUCUAGCGGGACUGCCGNUCUCCCACCGGACGCAAGGUGGGGACGACGUCAAGUCCUCAUGGCCUUUAUGCCCUGGGCUGCACACGUGCUACAAUGGUAACUACAGAGCGAAGCGAUACCGCAAGCUGGAGCAAAUCGCAAAAAAGUGCACCCAGUUCGGAUUGUGGUCUGCAACUCGACCACAUGAAGUUGGAAUCGCUAGUAAUCGCGCAUCACCAAUGACGCGCUGNAUACGUUCAUGAGCAUUGUACACACCGCCCGUCAAGUCAUGAAGCCGGGAG